GAAUUUUUGGGGGCCUCAAUCAGGCCCAUUUCUGUUCAUCAACCAACUCCUGUUUCUAACUUUUAACCAUUGCAGAGAGUAUUUUGCACGCACUGCUCCCGGACAUGAACAUGCCAAUCCACAAGUUGCUGCUCCCAUCCAGCGGCCAAUCGCCGGAGUGGACAACUCAACCCGGGGCAUCCCCGGAUCUGGACCGCCCCGACCAGUCCAGUUCCGGUCUCCCCGGCGAACAUGCACGGCACAGCCCCGGGCCGAGCCGAGGCCGAGCCAUUGCUGCCCUAGCAACGCGGCAGGUGAGGAGGCCGGCCUGGUUCGGUGGCGCUAAACGAUGGGGCCGGGCGGCCAGCCGUGCCGUGCUCUCGCGCUCGGGGUUCGCGGUUCGCCAUGUGAUCUCCUCCAGAGGCCAGCCAGUUGCAGGCAUGCAGGCAUCAAUGUUGACAGAUCUACAGCGCGGCACGGCAGGCAGGGGUGUGCGCGCAGGUGACAGCCACUACACGAACAGGCACAAGGGGUUGAGGAGAAGCAAACAAGGGGUUGAGGAGGUUGCAGCAGACCAGGACAAGCCUGAAUCGAUUCUUACUUUGAUCCUCAUCCCCCCCCCCCCCCCCCCCCCUUUAUUGUUUUCAUUUCAUUCAGAUGUUGCCUGCUGGGCUGCUGAUUGUUUUGUAUCAUCUAUCUUUGCAGAACAAGCCUGAAUGACAGCCAAGCAGUUGAUCAUAUGGCAAAUAUUGUAUUUUACUGAUACCCGCAUAUAUGUUCAUGACAUGGAUUACUUGAAGCAAGAAAAGAUGCUUAAACGUUUUCUGCUCUA